UACGGGGGGGGCAAGCGUUGUUCGGAAUUACUGGGCGUAAAGCGCGUGUAGGCGGCUCGGAAAGUCGGAUGUGAAAGCCCUGGGCUUAACCUAGGAAGUGCAUUCGAAACUCCCGAGCUUGAGUUCUGGAGAGGAAGGCGGAAUUCUCGGUGUAGAGGUGAAAUUCGUAGAUAUCGAGAGGAACACCGGUGGCGAAGGCGGCCUUCUGGACAGUGACUGACGCUGAUACGCGAAAGCGUGGGGAGCAAACAGG
rnacentral:rRNA from 1 species